AUGUUAUGAUUUGGGCAUAUGUGCAACAAAAGUUUAAAUGUCUCCCAAGCAUCAUAAAGUGACUCAAUUUCCUGUUGCUCAAAAUUAACAAUUUCUGCUCUGGGCUU